rnacentral:snRNA from 1 species
AUGUGCUCGCUUCGGCACAUAAAGUUGGAACGAUACAGAGAAGAUUGGCAUGGUCCGUAUGCAAGGAUGACACACAAAUUUGUGAAGCCCUCCAUAUUUUU